UACGUAGGGUGCAAGCGUUGUCCGGAAUUAUUGGGCGUAAAGAGCUUGUAGGCGGUUUGUCGCGUCUGCUGUGAAAUUUCGGGGCUCAACCCCGAACUUGCAGUGGGUACGGGCAGACUAGAGUGUGGUAGGGGAGACUGGAAUUCCAGGUGUAGCGGUGAAAUGCGUAGAUAUCUGGAGGAACACCGGUGGCGAAGGCGGCAUCCUGGACCGGCAUUGACGCUGAGGCGCGAAAGCCAGGGGAGCAAACGGG
rnacentral:rRNA from 1 species